UCCUUUUGAGUAUCACCCUAAUCCAUUC
rnacentral:piRNA from 1 species